rnacentral:rRNA from 1 species
UACGGAGGGGACUAGCGUUGUUCGGAAUUACUGGGCGUAAAGCGCACGUAGGCGGAUUUGUAAGUCAGGGGUGAAAUCCCGAGGCUCAACCUCGGAACUGCCUUUGAUACUGCAAAUCUCGAGUCCGGAAGAGGUGAGUGGAAUUCCUAGUGUAGAGGUGAAAUUCGUAGAUAUUAGGAAGAACACCAGUGGCGAAGGCGGCUCACUGGUCCGGUACUGACGCUGAAGUGCGAAAGCGUGGGGAGCAAACAGG